rnacentral:lncRNA from 1 species
AGAGAAGCUAAUUGAAUUGGGCACGAGAAACAUAAAGGUAAAAGAUAAGAAUCCUAAACUAACAAGACUGGAAAUUAAAUUGGCAAAAGAGUAAAUUGAAAUAAUAACAAUGAAGAGUGUAGAAAGAAACACAUCAAACAGAGAAAUUUUAUUGAAAGCUGAAAUCAAAAUACAAGAUACCAGAAAUCACCGAAAAUCACGGCCUGUCACCCUCGCAACUCGAUGAAAUCCAAAAUCGAAGAAUAGUGUAUCUACUCUACGAAAGCUGAUAAAUUCUAAAACUAAGGCGAGAGAAUUUGAAAAUCUAAACUAAGCACAUCGUCUGUCACCAGUGCACGUACCUAUUCUAUUUUACAAAACUCCUUUAUAUAGGAGAAAACAAAAACAAAAAAGAUGAAAAGAGGGGGAAAGGGGAAAGAAUCUGAAACAAACUUGGAAGCUUCUUGAAUAUCCUUCAACUGACUCUGACCAGGUUCUCAAACCGUUCAAGCUUAGUACGUGCUUCCAACCUCCAUUCUGAUCGAUCAACAUCUUGGGUUGUUCCCCUUUUUGGGCUGUCGUUCUUUGGAUUUGCUUCAUCGGACUGAUCCCCUCUUGCUGGACCACGAACCCUAGAUUGAGAGUUUAGAGAAUUUGGGGAAAAUCUUCUUUGUGAGCCCUAGCUCCAAUUGCUUCUAAUUUGGAGAAAUGAAACCCUCUUCAUGGGUAUACUCCUUCAGUAAACACACAACUGCUUGAACGCAGCGUUUCAUUAAUCUGCUACCCAAAAUGGCUUUAAUCCAUAAGCGCUGGCCAUAUUACUUUGGCCCAUUUUAGCACCAACCUUGGCCAGAUUUGUGGCCCCCUUGGAUCAGGUUUAAUACUGCAAAAAGAAAUAUAGAAAAAAAAAAUAAACAACAAAAAAAAAACUAAAAGUCUAUAACAACAAAAGAAAGUUUUAUUUUCAUUCUCAAAAUAUUUGUUUCUAAAAAAGAAAAAUAUCUAUUUAUUUAAAAACCUAUUUUAUUAAACUAAAAAGGCAAAAUUAACACUAUUUUAACAAAACUCUAAAAUUAAAGAAAAAAUACUAAACUAAUCUAAUUCUAGAAAAUUAGAAACUAAAAGAAACUAAAAAUCCAUUCUAAAAAGAGGAAAAAUAGGUAAAAAUUGGGAGUUAUCAAACCCCCACACUUAAGGAACUGCCCUCCUGGGCAGGGAAGACUAAGACUGGAAAUUAAAUUGGCAAAAGAGUAAAUUGAAACAAUAACAAUGAAGAAUGUAGAAAGAAACACAUCAAACAGAGAAAUUUUAUUGAAAGCUGAAAUCAAAAUACAAGAUACCAGAAAUCACCGAAAAUCACGGUCUGUCACCCUCGCAACUCGAUGAAAUCCAAAAUCGAAGAACAGUGUAUCUACUCUACGAAAGCUGAUAAAUUCUAAAACUAAGGCGAGAGAAUUUGAAAAUAUAGAGAGAGCAAAGUGUAGAGCAUACUGCCGGUCACCCAGUGCACAUACUCUAUUCAUUACAAAAAACCCCCUUUUUAUAGGGAAAAUCCAAAGAACGAAAAAGAAAAGAAAAUGGGAAAGGGGAAAGAAUCUGAAACUGACUCUCGAAGCUUCUUGAGCACUUUUCCAACUAACUUUCUUGAACCACUUUGAUCCUCAAUCGUCGACUGCUUCGCAUGUGCCCUCGACAUCCAUUCUGACCGAUCAAGCUUCUGAUCUGAUUUAAUUUCUGGGCUAGCUUCCUCUUGGGCUUGGAGCUCGCUUCAGUCCUCGUCGCCGCAGUUCUUCACCGUGCUGGAACCCUAGCUCUUGGGUUGAAAAUUGGGGAAAAGCCUUCAGUCUGAUUUGAUCUCCUUUGCCCAAAUGAAUAUGGUCGAUCCUUACCCCCAAAGACUGUAGUAGCGUUACAAAAUGCACCGUUUCAUUAAAACGUCUCAAGGGCUUCAACAAUCAACAACCCAAUUCCAUAUCAGCAGCC